CGACCGGCGCACGGGUGAGUAACACGUAUGGAACCUGCCCGCAGCAGGGGGAUAAGCGGAAGAAAUUCCGUCUAAUACCGCGUAAUAACGUUGGGAGGCAUCUCCCGAUGUUUAAAGAUUUAUCGGCUGCGGAUGGCCAUGCGGCGCAUUAGCUAGUCGGCGGGGUAACGGCCCACCGAGGCGACGAUGCGUAGGGGUUCUGAGAGGAAGGUCCCCCACACUGGUACUGAGACACGGACCAGACUCCUACGGAAGGCAGCAG
rnacentral:rRNA from 1 species